GGAAUAUGCCCUGAUGUGGGGGAUAACCAUUGGAAACGAUGGCUAAUACCGCAUAAUCUCUUCGGAGCAAAGAGGGGGACCUUCGGGCCUCUCGCGUCAGGAUUAGCCCAGGUGAGAUUAGCUAGUUGGUGAGGUAAGAGCUCACCAAGGCGACGAUCUCUAGCUGGUCUGAGAGGAUGAUCAGCCACACUGGAACUGAGACACGGUCCAGACUCCUACGGGAGGCAGCAGUGGGGAAUAUUGCACAAUGGGGGAAACCCUGAUGCAGCCAUGCCGCGUGUGUGAAGAAGGCCUUCGGGUUGUAAAGCACUUUCAGUCGUGAGGAAGGCAUAUGCGUUAAUAGCGCAUGUGUUUGACGUUAGCGACAGAAGAAGCACCGGCUAACUCCGUGCCAGCAGCCGCGGUAAUACGGAGGGUGCGAGCGUUAAUCGGAAUUACUGGGCGUAAAGCGCAUGCAGGCGGCUUGUUAAGCCAGAUGUGAAAGCCCGGGGCUCAACCUCGGAAUAGCAU
rnacentral:rRNA from 1 species